UAAUUAAUUAGGGAGAUCCCUAAUCCAAUAUGGCUGACUAAUGUCCUUAUAAGAAAAGGAAAUUUGGGCAUAGAUAUGUACAGAGGGAAGACCACAUGAAGAGACAGGGAGAAGAAGACAGAUGCCUGUACAAGCCAAAGAGAGAGGUUCCGUAAGAAACCAAGCCCUGUCAAUACCUUCUCAGAUUCCUAGCCUCCAGAACUGUGAAAAGAAAUAAAGUUUUAGGCACUUCAGUCUGUGGUCCUUGGUUACGGCAGCCCUAGCAAACCAAUAAGCAGGCAGACUUCAUUGACUGGACUGGCCCUGCCCCUCCUCUCACCACUGCCUCAUAAGGCUAUGCAAAUGCAUCAGACUUUACUAGGAACUGCAGCAAUUAAAAUACAGUAGUAAAAUCUCCAUCUAAAUUUGAGGCUUCCCAUGCUUCACGCUCCAUAUGCCAAGAGAGAAUUAUCUCCCAAUUUAAAACUCUCCACAGAAGGCCCUCUUGUGGCAUACGUGGGUUCCUAACUCCUUCCCUGCCUUCAAGUUUCUAGCUUCCUGAGUGCCUCCUUCCUCCAUUCUUCUCAGUAAGAGUCCAGCAUAGCUUUCUCAGAAAUCCCGGUGUUGUACCCACAAGAAUGGUUCUUGCUCAGGAACAAACCCAACCUCAGCAGGAGAUUUUUCUAAAUUCAUGUCAUUCUUAAAUAGUGCCCCCAAAAGGUAUUAAUAGGCCAGUUAGGGAUGGCCAUUGGCAUUCUAAGUCUAGCUAAACAAGGAGUGAUGGUAGUGGUGGUGGUAAUGGUGGUGGUGAUGGUGGUGGUGGUGGUGGAGAUGGCAGUUGUGACUGGAGUGGCGGCAGUGGUGAUGAAGCUGAGGGCCGUAGUGACAAUUGUGAUGGUGGAGAUUGUGGUAAUGGUGACGGUGGUAGUGAUGGUGGUGGUGGUGGUGGUAGUGGUAGUGGUGGUGCUAAUUGUGGUGUUGGUGAAGAUGGCAGUGGUGAUGAUGAAAGUGAGGGUGGUGGCGAAGAUGGUGAUGGUGGAGGUAGUGGUGAUGGUGGUGGUGGUUAUAUGCUUAUGAGUUGGGAGCGAGGGUUACUAUUCAUAUUUUUACACAACUGUCCAGGCUGGUAUGGGCCUUUAAGAACAAUCCUUUCUGAGAUCUUUCCAAUGGUAUGAAUUGCAGAUUUACCACUCAAAUUUCCCUAUUGUCUAAAGAGUAAAUAUUGAAUCAGAUGCAGAAAAACAAACCUUUCAGAGCAAAUAUUAAUUCUCAGAGCUAGUACAUUCAAAACAGAGAUUACAAGAUGCCCACGGGUCUGGGUAGGUAAAUAAUUCAGAGGAGCAGCAUGUGUGGCAGUGGUGGGGAUGUGGAGGGGGAGGGACAGUGGGUUUCACCUGCCCAUUCUUCUAAAGAGGCUCUGCCAGCAGCAGGUUUGGAAGCAGGUAAGCCCAGUCUCAGCAGGAAGUCUUAAUUUCUCUCCCCAAAACACAAAUUCACAUUUGCAUUCCACAUCUCUAUUACAUGUUGAUAACGCCAUCAUUUUUUUUAAACACUGUAAGUCAAUGAACCCAUUUUGCAACGUUUGAUAGAAAGGAAGAUUUAUUACUUGCCUCAUUCAUUUGUAAUCCUCUCAGAAUAAAUUAAGUAAUUCACGUAUUCUAUAGAAUGGAAUCGUUUCUUUUCUUCCCUUCACCUCACAUCUUUUAAAUGUACCCAUCUUUUAAAAUGUGCCCAUAAAAAUAAAUAAGAAAUGAGCUUGUGGAUGAGUCUUGAGGGCCUCUGUUGAUACUGGAAAUGGCCGUGUAGGAAGACUUGGUUAGGUUCUCAGCCGAACACUGUCCAUGCAGGCGUUCCUGUCUGAGCCAAGGAAAGAAGGGGCUUUGGAUCUUUGGAUGUAUAUCGAUGUGUGUAAGCAUCUCAUCUGGCAAUAGCUUUUUACUUUUUAACUUUCCUGAUUGACCUCCUAGUUAAUAAACCUCAGGCAAAUACUUAUAUAUAUAUUGGGAGAGUUGUCUGGAAUAAGUCUUUGAUUCCAUAAAUAACCAUGUCUAAUUUACCUGUUUGUGAAAGGUUGUGUUUGUUUUGUUUCUCCUUAAAUCUGAAUACUAAUUAGUAAAGCAGCACUAGAUGAAGCCAGUUCACUUGGAUCUGGGGAGGUCCUUCCACCCAGUGGCUCUGCCUGGCAAUGGAAAUGUGCGAGUUUGGACUGCUCUGCUCACCGAUGGUGCACAGGCAGGUAAUUGCUCUGGGCAGGUCACAGCUUGUUGAGCUGUGCAUACAGGCUGUAGGGAGCAGAGACUCUGCUUUGUUUUCACUUGUGAAUGGUUUCCAAAUGUGGUGCUAUGUUGUUGCCUCCUUUAAGUCUUCUGAGCCAAGCAGCUGUAACAUCCCCAAGCUCUGGCUGAGUUCUGGGAGUUGGUGGGAAUGAGCCUAUUACCCUGGAGCGUUGGUAUUGCAGAAAUGGCUUCUGUAUUCCCAGAGAAUAGGUUAGGAGUUUUUGGCAUGGCUCUGAACAAUCAUGAGAACUCCUGACUGUGAAUCUCCCAUUCUGGGAGGCCAGACUGGCUUCUUCCCCAUAGUGAAAUGAUGAUAAAUUGACCCUCUGCCCUUUACUUCCAUAGCUCCUUUUCCUUCUUUCUUUUAUGUUGCUUUCCUAGUUUAUUUUAUGCCAUACACUCUCUGAGCUACAGAAUGAUCUGUCCAGUCUAAUUUUAUUGAGGCCUUCAGAAACCAUUGAAGCUCAUGCGUAAUAUCAGAUGUGUUUGACCCAGUUGAGGACUUCAAGUCUGUCUUUGGGAAAAUUUAAAAUUAAUGACAGCAAGUUUAAAAUACAGAAUUGAACUCAAUUGCUUCUAUUAAUAAUCAGGAAAAGCUACUUUGGCAUGCUUCCUGCCUGCAGCAGACAGCUUUGUUCAAAUGAACUGUUGUUUCAAGACCUUUCAAGCGACUUGCUUUUGUGGCAAAUUCGAGGCUACCAACCUCAUCUAUUUUGUGGCAAGACUGGUUUAUUGAAAUACCAAGAGAGUUGUCAGCAUAAGGAUGGAGAACAUUGUCAAGAAAAUAAGUCAGGAGAGCCCUGCAUGUCAGAGCCAAGGAAAAUAGGUUAGAACAAUACCAGCCUUCAAAAUUUGGAAAACCUGUAAUAAAUUUGGUUGUUUAAUUCUUUGAGGUGUAGUACUGUAUGGAUAUUAUACAAUUAUUCAAUCACACAGUGAAAAAAACAAUCUCUUAUAAAACACUCUCCUAAUUGCGAUUGUCCCUUUACAUUUAUAUCAAACUAUUAUACCAUAAAUGUGGAUAGAGAUGGUUAGUGCCCAAGAUUUGGAGAGACAGACAGACAUAGCAACUCAUUAGCUGCAGGACCGGGAGCCAGAUUACUUCAUCUAAACCUCAGUCUCCUUACCUAUAAAAUUAGGACAAUAAUAAUACCUUUAUAAGAUUUGGUGAGGAUAAGCAUGCUGCACAUGCAUUGCACAUGUUAAGUGUUCAAUAUGUUGGCGAUUAUGAUUAGAAGCUUAAAAAUGUUCCAUGUGAUUCCUGAAGCAGUCAUCUUUGACAAAAUUCAGAACACUUAAGGCCUUAUAUUAUGCGUUGUAUUUAUAGUUUGGUUCAUAGUUGUUGAAUAUACUUAUGAUACUUUAAUAAGAUAUCAUCUAUGAAUGAGCCUACAGAAGUUCCUGGUGCAUGAUAUGCACUCAAAAAUAUUAAUUUUUUCUGCCUUUUCCUGAAGAAGAUCCCAAAAUUUCAGAGAUUUAUCAGCUUCAACUGGCAACCAUCUUCUUAAAUGGGCUGUAACCAUGUAAGUUGGAAUAGCUUAUUCUCCUAAGACAGGCUAAUUAGUCAACGAUGGGUCUGGCACAACUGUGAUGAAGGUCAUUGGAUCUCUGCUGUUGAAUCUACAGUCUCUCUCUCUGCCUGGCUUUCUAAACCAGCAUCUGAUAGGUAGACGGAGGCACCCAAGCUUCAGUAGCAGAGCAGUAGCAUUUCCAAGCAUCCAGAAGCUCUAUAAAUUAGUCUUAAGACCAGAAUGGGACAAAUAGCUAAUUUCCCCAUGUUAGCCAUGUUCAGGCCUAUCCAUCCUUAUCACUAACCCCUAAGCUUUUUCUCAGAAUCAUAAUCCCUUUAAGGUCUUAAAUUGUGUUUAUAUGUUAAUUCAGUCAGUGUGUUUAACAUGUAAUCACUUAAUGGGAAUUGUUUUUGUGUUUCAUUCGGAUGUCAAAACCUCAAUUGUGUAGAAAUAUGAAACUGGAUAUGAGCAUUCAGGAGAUGUUCUGUGGAGGUACUCCACAGCAAUGUUAAUAUUCAACAGCAGAUAUCAUCAUUUAAAAAUUAUUGCCCUGAGUAGUUUCAAACUUCACCUCUCCUUCAGGCUAUUGUGAGCUUUGCUUUGUUAGCAAGCUGCAAGAUGAGCUCCACUGAGAUUUCUUGUCCUGUGUCUUCCUGGCCCUACCUUCACUUUACCGAAGGUCACCCUUAGGAGGAAGGGCCAGAUUACUCCACGUUGUACCCCAGCACCUAAAACAAUUCCAGGGAUGCAGUAGGCACUUCAUGAAUGUUGGCUGAGUUGAAGUUUAGGGCUCCAGGUAACCCACAACUCAGAAAAUCCAUGCUUUGCAGGAUAUAGUGAUAUGUACUGUCCAGAGAUCCACAGAAUGUACACUAAGUACACAGAGGAGGUGCCAAGGUGAGAGGUUUGCAGAGCCCUUGGGGUGCCAGCUAAUAUGCAGAACAGGGAAGGGCUUUGUCCCACGGCAUCCCAGUCUGCACUGAGGUCGCCUGCCAACCCCAACUCCUAUUUGGAGCCUAGAAGCAGUUCCUAAAUCACAUUUACCUACCUGAAAUCUAUCAUGCUCGGGAGAUCAUAAAUACAUAAUUCAGAAGAAAGAUCUUAGAUUUUUCAUGAGGUGCCCAUUAUAAUUCCUGGCUUGCCACUCUAGACUCUUAAAGAUGCUAAUAAUUCUUAAAAUUAGAUGUGGGGCUAAGCUCCAGGCUAAUGUAUAUCUUGCUAUUAUGUAAUUGAAAUAAAAUCUACUUUUAGGUGACUACUUUCAAAUAAAAUAGAAAAAGGUCAAUAUUUUUUAAAAAUGUAUAAAAGUAUUCAUUAGUAGCUUCACAAAGCCUCUUAAGAAACUUUACAAAGACAAAGCACUUUAAGCAACCAGUACCACAAAGUAGACUGACCAAUCCAGUCUUCCGACUUACCCCAUAUUGAGAGUGGCCUAAUUUGUUCUUGUUUCAUUUUAAAAUAGAGGGCUGUGAAAACAAAGUUUGAUCCCAUACAAUACCAAAUGGCUGAAAUUUUCUCUUCAUGGUGUUUGGCAUUUUCCUUGUCACUGCAAAUAAUUUUGGCAAAGUCUCAACUUUGCAUGUCCCAUUUUUACCAUCCAAAGGUGUAAGAACCUCUACUCGUUAGGUGAAAAAGUCUGAAAGGCUGCAGUCAAAUUUAAAGCAAUAUUAUAGCAUUGUUGGCUGGAAGAUUUAACAGCAGUGGACAGACUUUUGAGGUAUGCAGGAAUUAGAGAUGUGCUUGUUUGAUGUGAGCCAGAACAGGAUGGGUUUUUUUAUUCAGCAUUUUUUACAACAGAAGGUGUUGUUCUGUCUCUAUCAGCAGUAGCCAGGGCAUGCUUGCUUCACCCCUGAAUGAAGAAUUAUAAAUAUCUCUGUGCAAGGCCAUGACAUACCCAUGAUGUGUGCUUUGAUACAUGCACAAAACCAUUUAUCCAUCUUCAAAAAUGAAAUGUCCAGAAGCAAGUCAUUUAAAAGUUCCUGUCAUGCCACAAGGACAUCAUCAUGUAAGGAAAAGUGAACUCAGUUUCUCAUGGUGUAAAGCAUGUACAUGCGUAGGUGAAAGGAAAAAAAUCUAUUCCAAAACUCCUCUUUUAGAAAUUACAUAGUGCCUAUGGUAGGAUUUUUAAAAAAUAGAAUUAUUUUCAAUUAUA